UAGCAUAUCACCGUGCUACUAAACGAACGAAGUCACUAUAUGACUAAGACCUCAACCUUUGAUGUCAUCAAGAGUGUUUCUACUUUCACAAGAACCAAACUUAUGUCAUCUUUCAUUGUGUUUAUAGACAAAAUAUCAUAGCAACCAUCAUUUUCUUUAGUUCAUCCCCACACACACCAUCAAUGGAAAUAAAAGAACACAUUCAAAACAAAACAAAAGGUAG
rnacentral:lncRNA from 1 species